UACAGAGGUCUCAAGCGUUGUUCGGAUUCAUUGGGCGUAAAGGGUGCGUCGGCGGCGCGGUAAGUCGGGUGUGAAAUUUCGGAGCUUAACUCCGAAACUGCAUUCGAUACUGCCGUGCUUGAGGACUGGAGAGGAGACUGGAAUUUACGGUGUAGCAGUGAAAUGCGUAGAGAUCGUAAGGAAGACCAGUGGCGAAGGCGGGUCUCUGGACAGUUCCUGACGCUGAGGCACGAAGGCCAGGGGAGCAAACGGG
rnacentral:rRNA from 1 species